AAUGAACGCUGGCGGCAGGCCUAAAACAUGCAGGUCGAACGAAGUCUUCGGACUUAGUGGCGGACGGGUGAGUAACACGUGGGAACGUGCCUUUAGGUUCGGAAUAACUCAGGGAAACUUGUGCUAAUACCGAAUGUGCCCUUCGGGGGAAAGAUUUAUCGCCUUUAGAGCGGCCCGCGUCUGAUUAGCUAGUUGGUGAGGUAAAGGCUCACCAAGGCGACGAUCAGUAGCUGGUCUGAGAGGAUGAUCAGCCACAUUGGGACUGAGACACGGCCCAAACUCCUACGGGAGGCAGCAGUGGGGAAUCUUGCGCAAUGGGCGAAAGCCUGACGCAGCCAUGCCGCGUGAAUGAUGAAGGUCUUAGGAUUGUAAAAUUCUUUCACCGGGGACGAUAAUGACGGUACCCGGAGAAGAAGCCCCGGCUAACUUCGUGCCAGCAGCCGCCGCAGUAA
rnacentral:rRNA from 1 species